rnacentral:rRNA from 1 species
UUUUCGCAAUGCCCGAAAGGGUGACGAAGCGACGCCGCGUGGGUGAGGAAGGCCCUCGGGUUGUAAAGCCCUGUCAGGAGUUAAGAAAUGUAAGUGCGCUAAUAUCGCAUUUAUUUGACGAAGGCUCCAAAGGAAGCCACGGCUAACUCUGUGCCAGCAGCCGCGGUAAUACAGAGGUGGCAAGCGUUGUUCGGAAUUAUUGGGCGUAAAGAGCACGUAGGUGGGUUUGUAAGUCAGAUGUGAAAGCCUUCUGUUCAACGGAAGAAUUGCAUCUGAAACUACAAGUCUUGAGUGUAGGAGGGGAGAAUGGAACUUCUGGUGGAGCGGUGAAAUGCGUAGAUAUCAGAAGGAACGCCGGCGGCGAAAGCGAUUCUCUGGCCUAUUACUGACACUCAGUGUGCGAAAGCUAGGGGAGCAAACGGGAUUAGAUACCCCGGUAGUCCUAGCCGUAAACGAUGGGCACUAAGUAGAGGGGUUUUA